AUACGGAGGGUGCGAGCGUUAAUCGGAAUUACUGGGCGUAAAGCGCGCGUAGGCGGUUCGAUAAGUCUGAUGUGAAAGCCCUGGGCUUAAUCUGGGAAUGGCAUUGGAUACUGUUGAACUAGAGUGCGGGAGAGGAGAGUGGAAUUCUCGGUGUAGCGGUGAAAUGCGUAGAUAUCGGGAGGAACACCAGUGGCGAAGGCGGCUCUCUGGACUGACACUGACGCUGAGGUGCGAAAGCGCGGGUAGCAAACAGGAUUAGAAACCCCGGUAGUCC
rnacentral:rRNA from 1 species